AACGAACGCUGGCGGCGUGCCUAACACAUGCAAGUCGUGCGAGAAAGUUCCUUCGGGAGCGAGUAAAGCGGCGCACGGGUGAGUAACACGUAGGUAACCUGCCCCCCCAGUCUGGAACAACUAGAGGAAACUCUAGCUAAUGCCGGAUGAGACCACGAUCCCUUCGGGGGUUGCGGCCAAAGAUGGCCUCACUUGUAAGCUAUCGCUGAGGGAUGGGCCUGCGGGCCAUUAGUUUGUUGGUGAGGUAACGGCUCACCAAGGCUGUGAUGGCUAGCUGGUCUGAGAGGAUGACCAGCCACACUGGGACUGAGACACGGCCCAGACUCCUACGGGAGGC
rnacentral:rRNA from 1 species